rnacentral:rRNA from 1 species
ACUCCUGCGGGAGGCAGCAGUGGGGAAUUUUGGACAAUGGGCGAAAGCCUGAUCCAGCAAUGCCGCGUGUGUGAAGAAGGCCUUCGGGUUGUAAAGCACUUUUGUCCGGAAAGAAAUCCUUGGCUCUAAUACAGUCGGGGGAUGACGGUACCGGAAGAAUAAGCACCGACUAACUACGUGCCAGCAGCCGCGGUAAUACGUAGGGUGCGAGCGUUAAUCGGAAUUACUGGGCGUAAAGCGUGCGCAGGCGGUUUGCUAAGACCGAUGUGAAAUCCCCGGGCUCAACCUGGGAACUGCAUUGGUGACUGGCAGGCUAGAGUAUGGCAGAGGGGGGUAGAAUUCCACGUGUAGCAGUGAAAUGCGUAGAGAUGUGGAGGAAUACCGAUGGCGAAGGCAGCCCCCUGGGCCAAUACUGACGCUCAUGCACGAAAGCGUGGGGAGCAAACAGGAUUAGAUACCCCUGUAGUCCCAU